ACCCACAAACCGUGAGAUCAUGACCUGUGCCAAAGUCGGACGCUUAACUGACUGAGCCACUCAGGCACUCCACCAAUAAGUAAUCUUUUAAUUGGAGCAAAGGUUUAACUAAAAGUUUUAAGCAAGUUCCUUGUGUUGAAUUUUUCCCAUGGUCUAGUGUGAACAUCCCAUGAGAAAGUAAGAACCCUGGGUUAUGGUCCCAUCUAUACUGCUAACUAACAGAGAACUUGACAACCCCACCCCACGUUUCUGUGCCCCUCCUCACCAGCAGAAUGAGCAAAACCUCUUCCAAGAUACAUGAGUAACUAAUGGAGUUCACAAAACAUUUAAAUGGCCUACCUCCCGCACUGAAGGCUGCUCUGGAUAGCACGGAACUGCACUCAACCUGAUUAGGACUCCCACGGAGGUGCAGCCUUCCAGAUGCAACUCGAUUUCAUUUUUGCACGGCGCCUUUCCAGCUGAAGGCUUCAAGUUUGACAGCUUUAGAAAAUACUGGAUUAUGGUAACACCAUCUAUGUAGGACAUGAUUUCCCCAGAAGCUCAGAGAUUCGAGCACACUCGACAGCCUUGGUGUUAGUAAGUAUGAGGCCGUGCCGGAACUCUGCACCCAGUGUUUAUUUUGCAUGUAGAAGCUUCAUGCUCGAAUCGGGGAAAUAAAGUAUUUAACCCUGA